rnacentral:rRNA from 1 species
GAUGAACGCUGGCGGCGUGCCUAAUACAUGCAAGUCGAGCGAGCGGACGAGAAGCUUGCUUCUCUGAUGUUAGCGGCGGACGGGUGAGUAACACGUGGAUAACCUACCUAUAAGACUGGGAUAACUUCGGGAAACCGGAGCUAAUACCGGAUAAUAUUUUGAACCGCAUGGUUCAAAAGUGAAAGACGGUCUUGCUGUCACUUAUAGAUGGAUCCGCGCUGCAUUAGCUAGUUGGUAAGGUAACGGCUUACCAAGGCAACGAUGCAUAGCCGACCUGUGAGGGUGAUCGGCCACACUGGAACUGAGACACGGUCCAGACUCCUACGGGAGGCAGCAGUAGGGAAUCUUCCGCAAUGGGCGAAAGCCUGACGGAGCAACGCCGCGUGAGUGAUGAAGGUCUUCGGAUCGUAAAACUCUGUUAUUAGGGAAGAACAUAUGUGUAAGUAACUGUGCACAUCUUGACGGUACCUAAUCAGAAAGCCACGGCUAACUACGUG